rnacentral:rRNA from 1 species
UACGUAGGUGGCAAGCGUUGUCCGGAAUUAUUGGGCGUAAAGCGCGCGCAGGUGGUUUCUUAAGUCUGAUGUGAAAGCCCACGGCUCAACCGUGGAGGGUCAUUGGAAACUGGGGAACUUGAGUGCAGAAGAGGAAAGUGGAAUUCCAAGUGUAGCGGUGAAAUGCGUAGAUAUUGGGAGGAACACCAGUGGCGAAGGCGGCUCACUGGACCGGAACUGACGCUGAGGCGCGAAAGCGUGGGGAGCGAACAGG